AACUGGGGAACUUGAGUGCAGAAGAGGAGAGUGGAAUUCCACGUGUAGCGGUGAAAUGCGUAGAGAUGUGGAGGAACACCAGUGGCGAAGGCGACUCUCUGGUCUGUAACUGACGCUGAGGCGCGAAGCGUGGGAGCGAACAGGAUUAGAUACCCUGGUAGUCCACGCCUAAACGAUGAGUGCUAAGUGUUAGAGGGUUUCCGCCCUUUAGUGCUGCAGCAAACGCAUUAAGCACUCCGCCUGGGGAGUACGGUCGCA
rnacentral:rRNA from 1 species